rnacentral:rRNA from 1 species
GAUGAACGCUGGCGGCGUGCCUAACACAUGCAAGUCGAGCGAUUCUCUUCGGAGAAGAGCGGCGGACGGGUGAGUAACGCGUGGGUAACCUGCCCUGUACACACGGAUAACAUACCGAAAGGUAUGCUAAUACGAGAUAAUAUGCUUUUAUCGCACGGUAGAAGUAUCAAAGCUUUUGCGGUACAGGAUGGACCCGCGUCUGAUUAGCUAGUUGGUAAGGUAACGGCUUACCAAGGCGACGAUCAGUAGCCGACCUGAGAGGGUGAUCGGCCACAUUGGAACUGAGACACGGUCCAAACUCCUACGGGAGGCAGCAGUGGGGAAUAUUGCACAAUGGGCGAAAGCCUGAUGCAGCAACGCCGCGUGAGCGAUGAAGGCCUUCGGGUCGUAAAGCUCUGUCCUCAAGGAAGAUAAUGACGGUACUUGAGGAGGAAGCCCCGGCUAACUACGUGCCAGCAGCCGCCGUAAGAC